GAUGAACGCUGGCGGCGUGCCUAAUACAUGCAAGUCGAGCGAACAGACGAGGCUCUUGCUCCUCUGACGUUAGCGGCGCGCGGGUGAGUAACACGUGUAUCCCCUACCUAUAUGACUGGUAUAACUUCGGAAAACCGGAUCUAAUCCCGUAUAACCUGUUGCACCGCAUGGUUUAACAGAGAAAUACGGUCUUGCUGUCUCUUCUAGCUGGUUCCGCGCCGCUUUAGCUAGUUGGUAAGGUAACGGCUUACCAAGGCAACCAUGCGUAGCCGAACUGAGAGGGUGAUAGGCCACACUGGAACUGAGACACGGUCCAGGCUCCUAAGGGAGGCAGCAGUAGGGAACGUGACGCAAUGGGCGAGAGCAUGACGGAGCAAGGGGAAGCGAGUGAAAAAAGCCUCGGGUGCGUAAAAAUCGGUUACUAGGGAAGAACAAAUGUGGAAGGAAAUAAGGACGGAUUGACGGUAACUGAUCAGAAAGCAACGGCUAACUACGUG
rnacentral:rRNA from 1 species